UCUAUUAAGAAUUCGGCUGCUUGGAGUGGAAUCAAAGAAUGCCAUUGGAGCGCGAAAAAUGCAGAAGUGCAUCUUAUUGAAGAUUAUGGUAGCUGUGACAUCUUGUGAGAUUGGUGUUGCCCAACCCACUUCACAGAAACUAAACACGCUAAUUACUUAACAAAACAGCUGAUAUCCAAAUCAGAAGCAAAUCAAUAACAAUAACAUUAUAAAGUAUUUAAAUAAACCAAUAAAUCUUUUAAUUUUUAAAAGGCACAUAAAAGUAAAAAUAGUAGCGCAAAAAUGUCUUACACAUCUGAUGGUUUGAUUAUCGUCCCUAGUUAACUAUAUUUUUUUAAAACAAAACAAAAAGGAAAAAGAAAAAACGAAGACUUACAGUGGUAUUUUUUUUUUAUAAGAAAGAAAAAAAAAAGAUAUUAGUUACAUUUAAAAUGAAAUAAAUGGCAAGAGUUAACCAAAACAUAAAAAAACGCGAACAGACUAAUGCAUGAGGGGGGGAAAAGAAGAAAAGAAAUGAUAUAAGAAGGUGAGUUCUCUGGUGCCUGGAUACCGGUGACUAACGGUGGCCAUGUUUUGACCCACCAAUAACAUCAUAACAUCUGGCCCAAAGAAUUCUCUAGGAAUGAGCGAAACGACGUCGCUGAGGAAUAUGCAAUUAAAGAUAAAUACAGUAACUUUAGUAAGUUUGCUGGGAAGGUAUUUAUGUAAUUUUACAUCCGAAAAAUAAUUUUUGUUUCUUUUUUAAAUAAAAGUCUUGAUGUUCUAUUGGAUAAGAAGCAUCAUCAUGGUGGAGCACCGUACCAGCAGAAAAUGAAUGCGUAUGCUCUUUUACUGAAACUCGAAGCACCGUAUGUUGGGACUUGGAGCCACUGGAAGAAGUGGCAGUUAGAAGUGUCUGAAAGAACAGCGGCAGCUCAUCAGCGUCUUCGGCGGAUUGAUGAGGAAGAAGGGGCGUGUUCUCAUCAGGUCCAGAUUUUCAUUUAGGCAUGUCUUCAUGAAGGCCAUGACAAAAAAAAAAAAGCAGUGAGGGUAUUUGUGGAAAACGGUGCAUUUGUAAAUGCAGCGGAUGUUCAAAAUGAACUCAGUUGCAAGUUUCAUUAGCUUAUUAGAGACGAGAAACAAGUUGAGAAAACCGUGACUUUCGCGGUGGAGAAAUAUGGAAGGCUUUUCAGCCUACCUUUGAUGAUUUUUGAAUGUUGUGGAACCUUCUGAACCAAUCUUUCUAUUUUUUGUAUUUUUCAAUUUAUUACAUUUUUCUGGGAUGAUUUAUUAUUUGUUUAUUACUCUUAAUUAAUAUUCAAAAAUUUUACCUUUUUUCACUUUUUUUUAUUAGCUAAUUUAUCAUGGUCAACCAUGUCAAAGCCUGCCUUCCAUUUGUGCUAAAUAUGCCACAUGCCAACAUUGCAUUGGUUGAUUUAAUUUAGUCACCAUAGUCACCAUAAGAGAAAAGCCACCAUAGAAAUCACCUUAAGAAGAAACCGCCAAUUUUAAAGUGUGAGAAAGAGUUGCACUAACGCCAAUUUUAUCGAUGUGUUGUUAGUGAUAUGCCAGCUAAGCAGAAUUCGUUAGAGUAUAAAACCCAGAGUAACAAACUCAACAUGCUUUUCUUCACUUCUUCGAAUUUCAAACGUCAUUUUUUCUUCUCCUUCCAUCUCUCUUCAUAGCUUUUGGUACGAUCGGCUUUAAUCACUGCACCAUCCGAAUCCGAAUUGCAAUCGAACAUAUGGAAGAAGAAACAAUGUAUCCCUGCACUAACUGUGAAGAGUCUUUUGCAAGUAAAAUCAAAUUGGUUUCCCAUUCAAAGCUGAAGCACAAAAAAUGUGUUGUUGUUUGCGAACUGUGUGGAAACGGAUUCAAAAAUAACAAAAACCUUAAAUUUCAUCAGAAUCAGGUACAGUUCUUUAAUUUUUACCUCAUUUACCUCUAUAAAAUUUCAAUGACUCUUCUUUAAUAUUCUAUAUUAGUGUGUUUUUGUUCAAGAAGCCAGCUCAAGGCCCUUGCAAGAGCGCUUUAUGUGCGUUCAUUGCAAGGGUGGAGCGAUUUUUAAUCAUCCAAACGAAUUGAAGAGGCACGCUCGAAAGAAGCACGAGGACUGUAAAUUUUCUUGCUGCUGUGGAAACCUAUUCGAAAGCAAGAAGGAACGUGAUCUCCAUUUAAGAGAGUGCGUGCAUUAUCAAGGGGAAAACUAAAGACACUAGACGAUACAUUUGAAGGUUAUAACAAAAUAUGUGAGUAUUUUUACUGAUCAGAGGGCAUAUGUACAAACUCGCCUUUGCCUGGCGAUUAUUCAAAAUUAGGUGUAACCCAUAGUCAAAUGUGUGUAACAAUACUAUCAAAUGUGUGUAACAAUACUGCUUCUGAUACGUUUAAUAUCUAGUGGUGAG